CCUACGGGUGGCAGCAGUGGGGAAUAUUGCACAAUGGGGGAAACCCUGAUGCAGCGACGCCGCGUGAAGGAAGAAGUAUUUCGGUAUGUAAACUUCUAUCAGCAGGGAAGAAAAUGAAGGUACCUGACCAAGAAGCCCCGGCCAAAGACGUCCCAGCAGCCGCGGUAAUACGGAGGGUGCCAGCGUUAUCCGGAUUUAAUGGGGGUAAAGGGAGCGUAGGCGGUUUAGCAAGUCAGGAGUGAAAGCCCAGGGCUCAACUUCGGGACAGCUUUUGAAACUGGUGAACUGGAGUGCGGGAGAGGUAAGUGGAAUUCCUGGUGUAGCGGUGAAAUGCGUAGAUAUUAGGAGGAACACCAGUGGCGAAGGCGGCUUACUGGACUGUAAAUGACGCUGAGGCUCGAAAGCGUGGGGAGCAAACAGGAUUAGAUACCCUGGUAGUC
rnacentral:rRNA from 1 species